AGAGUUCAAGAGUACGUGAAACCGUUCAGGGGUAAACCUGAGAAACCCAAAAGAUCGAAUGGGGAGAUUCAUUGUCAGCGCAUUUUGUAUAUGUAUCAAGUUAUGAUACGGGUUACUCUUGUAGUAUUGCCUCGUACAUAUUUGUGCAUUUAGUUGCAAAAUGUUGUCGGCGUGCACUUCUUCCCUAGUAGGACAUCGCGACUCGUUGAAUGUUGGUUUACGACCAAAGUGGAAGCCUUUAAUAACUUUUACAAGUUAUUAAAGACCCUUUGUGUUUUCUAACCAGCUUAUCAGCGAUUUUCUAAUGGUAUUGAGCCGCAUUUAUUAAUAUGCGUCCAUAUCCGUCGCAAGCGAGGCUAGUUAAUAAUAUUUCGGUAGUGCGGACCUAGUGCCGUCGCUGAAUCUGGCCAGCUGUUGGUUGUACGGUAAUCUAGGACUGGCUUAAUAAAAAAAUAAUACCGGUCAGCGAUGCUAUUGCUUUGGGUACUUUCAGGACCCGUCUUGAAACACGGACCAAGGAGUCUAACAUGUGCGCAAGUCAUUGGGAUUUUUUUAAAAAUUAAACCUAAWGGCGUAAUGAAAGUAAAGAUCGACCUUGCGUUGAUUGAGGGAGGAUGAGUUGUAAUAAUUUGUAAAAAUAUGCAACUUCGCACUCCCGGGGCGUCUCAUUCUCAUUAUGAGAAGAGGCGCACCUAG
rnacentral:rRNA from 1 species